UACGAAGGGGGCUAGCGUUGCUCGGAAUCACUGGGCGUAAAGGGUGCGUAGGCGGGUCUUUAAGUCAGGGGUGAAAUCCUGGAGCUCAACUCCAGAACUGCCUUUGAUACUGAGGAUCUUGAGUUCGGGAGAGGUGAGUGGAACUGCGAGUGUAGAGGUGAAAUUCGUAGAUAUUCGCAAGAACACCAGUGGCGAAGGCGGCUCACUGGCCCGAAACUGACGCUGAGGCACGAAAGCGUGGGGAGCGAACAGG
rnacentral:rRNA from 1 species